CCAGCAGCCGCGGUAAUUCCAGCUCCAAUAGUGUAUCUUAACGUUGUUGCAGUUAAAAAGCUCGUAGUUGAAUUUCUUGUUGGGGGUCCUAUGCAACUCGCUUGGACUCCCUUCAAUCCGCUAGCGGAACACGGAGGGCUAUUUGUUUAGCGGCCGUGGGAAGUAGCAUUUUACUUUGAAGAAAUUAGAGUGUUCCAGGCAGGCUUUGCUUGAAUACAUCAGCAUGGAAUAAUGGAAUAGGACAUCUCCUAUAUCUUGGUGUAUGGGAGUGUAAUGAUUAACAGGGACAGUUGGGGGCAUUCGUACUCUUUUGUCAGAGGUGAAAUUCAUGGAUUAGAAGAAGA
rnacentral:rRNA from 1 species